UAAAGCAGCAAGCCAAAACUGAAAGCAACGGUUAAGGCUUUGUCACUUCCUGUGAUGGUACAAGCCGGAGGCUAACGCAGAGAAGAGGCCCACUGCCCGAUUCCAUUUUCCACCACAAAAGGUGCACUCUGUAGAGGGUGACCUAGGUUAGCAUAGACGAAGGAGUGGUCUCACUGCUGAGGGAGAUGGGAAUAAAAGGCCCUUGCAGUUUUUCGGGGGAGGAAGGCUGGGGAAGAGGAAGGAGGACCUUGGGUGAAAAAGUGCUGAGAAUUGAGUCAGAGUUGAGAAAAGUGUCUCAAGACUUCCCCUCCUUGCCCUGACAAAGAGGUCUCAGCAGAGGUGCCUGAGGAAAGCCCCAAAUAAAGAGGCUUCGGAGUGGAAAUGCCCGGAUUGGUUAUUGGUUAUUUGCAUCAGCAGAAUCCCUGAUCGAUGUUCUUCACAUUAAAAGUGUGAUCUGAAGACAAGCAGAAUGUGCACCAACAGUGACCUCAUUAUAAAUACAGACUUUCAUGCUCUACUCCAGACCACUUAAAUCUUAACGAGAUGCUCAGGGGAUUCCUGUGCCCAGGAAAGUUUAAGACUCCGUGGUCUCCAUGCCUUCUAGAUGCAGUGUCAGAACUGCACAGUCUGCUCUGGGUGUGGGGUCUGAUCACAUCCCUUAGCACUGGGGGGUCCAGGGUUCAGUCCUUGCUCCUUUCUCUUCUAUUGUAAUCACUCCUUUGGUGACCUCACCUGUUCUCAAGGAUUUAAACAUAAUUUAGGUAGUGUCACCUCCUGUGAUAAUGUGAUUUAUAAUAAGAAAUAUAGCUUUGGUAUUAGUCCCCAUUCCAGGUACAGAGCUCCUAAAACCCUUGGAAUUUCCUAAGUGUUGAGAGGGAAGAAGCUGUCCUUUGCUAUGUUAAUGAGUGACUUUGAGAAUGCCCCCAGGUAACCUAAGGAUGAGACUUGGUUGCCCAGGAAACCAUCACUAUGAUUAGAGGGUUGGAACUUUCAGUUUCACUCCCCUACACACUACCCCCAAGACCAUUUGGGAAGGGAGAGGGGCUGGAAACAGAGCCCAAUCACCAAUGGCAUGUGAUUUAAUCAAUCAUGCCUUUGUUGGGAAUCGUCUACGAAAACCCAAACGGACAGAGUUCAGAGAGCAUCCAGAUUGGUGAACACAUGGAGAUUCAGAGAAAGCAGCACACCUGGAGAGGGCAUGGAGGCCCCACACCUUUUCCCCAUACCUUGCCCUAUGCAUCCCUUCCAUCUGGCUGUUCCUGAGACAUAUCCUUUUCUCACAAACUUGUAAUCUAGUAAGUAAGUGUUGCUCUGAGUUCUGUGAGCUGCUCUAGCAAAUUAACCUAACUCAAGGAGGUUGUUAGAACCUCUGAUCUACAGCCAGUUGGUCAGAAGCCCAGGUGACAACCUGGACUUGUGAUUGGCAUCUAAGCUGUAGAGAGGUGUGCAGUCUUGUAGGACUGAACCCUUAACCUGUGGGAUCUGAUGCUAUCUCCAGGUAGAUAGUGUCAGAAUUGAUUUGAAUUGUAGGACACCCAACUGGUAUUGGAGAAUUUCUUGGUAGUGUGGGAGAAAAUACAAAUUGGAAUUGGGUGCAGAGUUAGACCUCCCAAAUCUAUUUUUCCAGCUCAUAUAUUUGUCCUAAAUCAUAGAUUCAUAUGUCCAACUGACUACCCAACAACCUCAUCUGCAUUUCUAAUGGACAUCUCAGAUUAAACAUCUCUUAAACUGAACGCCUGUGAUGCUCCCUCCUCAAAUAUGCUUCUUCCAGAAUCUCCCUGAUAUCUGCUAUAGCAACUCCAUCUUUCUACUUGCACAGUCCGAAACUUUGGUUAUGCUCCUUGACUCCUCCUUCCCAUACUCCAGAUUUAAUCAAGUAGGAAAUGUAUAAGUCCAUCUUCAAAAUGUAUCCAGAACCAAUCACUUCCACUAUUUCCACUGCUCACACCCCAGGCAAAGCAACCAAGAUCUCUAGCCUAAAACACUCCAUGAAUUUUCUAGUUUUCCCUGCUACCUCACUUACCCUUCACCUGUGGAUUCUGUUCUUAGCACAGCAGCCAGGGCGAUCCUUUUAAAAGAGAAGUCAUACCAUGUCUCUCUUCUGCUCAAAGCUGUUUGGCAACUUCCCAUCCCACACAGAAAAGUCAAACCCUCACAGUAUCUUCACUGCCUAUAUGGUCUGGCCAUACCUCUAACCUCAUCUCAGUUACUCUCUGCUCCAGCCAUACCAGCCUCCUACCUCUUGCAAGAAUACACAGAAAAACUCCCACCUUAGUGCAUUCACACUGGAGCUUCCCUUUCCUGGAAAGAACUUUCCCCGGACAUCCUUGUGCUUAUAGUACAUAGUCUGUCUCUUCCAACUACAACAUAUGCUCCACAAGGCCAACAACAUCUGUCUGUUUUUACUUCAAUGAUGUUCCCCAGAAGCAAAAGUAGUAUGUCAUAUACCCAGCACUCAACAAAUAUCAGGUGAAUGAAUGAUUAGUGUAAAGCAGCUCCCUGUUCUAGAGACAGUAUCUUUAUUAACAUAGCUUCAGAUCAAAUGCUGUUUUGUAGCAGCUACAGCACAUCAUCCAUUCAUAUUGCCAUCAAUGCCACCUGUACUUUUAUCACAAGUGCUGCUCUCCCCUCCUCCCCAUAGCCCCCACUUCUGACACUAGCCCUUCUGCACACAACAGCACACAAUUUAAUUUCUCUCUUCAAAAAAGAACAGAGGAGAGUGAUGUCAGCAUCAUGGUAGAGUGAGUUGUUCCCUUUGUCUCUCCCCUCUAAGUUACAGCUAAAUGGACAUUCAUUAACCAACAGAAGAUUCCCUACACAGCACAAUAGGAUGUCUGGGAGAUCCACACUGCAUACGUCUGAAGAUAGGAGGACUGGAUCCCUGGGAAGCAGUGAAACUAGGUUGAGGGAGAGGAUGGAAAAAGCAAUCCAGGGAAAAGCCUAAGAAGGAGGACAAGAAGUCGCUGACUCUGAAAAUUCAUCUCUCCAUACCAGAGGGACUCCUGUUUGCAGGGCCUGCCCUGAGCACUGUGGGGACAAUGACAGCCAAAACGACUCCUGCUGCUGUCAGAGAUGGGGACACCCAAAGGAGAAUGAGACCAGAACUUGCAACGAGAAGAAAAGGCAUAAUCCUCAAAUGAAACAAGAAAAAAGUUAAAUUCACAAAUUGAGGCCCGAGGGCUGGGGACCUAGGCCUGAGCCUAGGCUGACCCAGCCCCAUGAAGGCCCUGCUGUCCACCAUCUUGGAGACAGGACAAGGCCCAGGUGAUGUCCCAGUCCCUGUGAUCACAGGUCCUGGUGGGACAAGGUUCUAUUGAAGGGACAAGGACAAAAGAGCAGAGAGAUGACCCAGCCGAGGAGUGACCACAUCAAAAUCCAUGAUGCAGAGAGCACUGACUGGACACAGGCCCUGUCCAUGCUUGGCUCCACACAGUCUUUUCCUGUCCCUGCCUGCAACAGACUCAGCACAGCAAACAUGGAUUCUGGAAGGUU